rnacentral:lncRNA from 1 species
GUAAUGUUGUUGUAAAAAUUUUAGACCUAGCAUAUAUUUUUACUCGGUAAUACUCAGGUUGAUUGACCGGCAGUCCACGAGUGCCCCUGCCCGCUUCUCUUUCUCCACGUGAGUGAGCCCCACUCUUCCGGUGGUUUCUUCCCCAACCAUUCUUUCUCUUUCUCUAUUCUUCUUCGAUGGGUGGCACGCCGGUGGCCUGGCGAGCACUGAAUAUGGCACCGUGUUGUCCCUGUAGUGCUUCCUCGUGAACUCCUUGGCGCCAGGAUCUUGCUGCGGCGCCUGCUGCGGUGGUGGUGGCGGCGGGAGUGGUGGCGGCGGGAGGAACUGCUGGUGUUGGUGAUGGGCCGCGUGGCUCCAGUCGAGCAUGGUGCGACCUCGUGCUGCGGCGGCGCAAGGUGGUGGAAGGCGGUAGUGCGGGAGCCGGGUGAGGGGUGCGAGGCGCCAGAACGGAGGGAGACAACGAGGGAGGAGAAGUUGGCCGGGACGGUGUCGGUGGCAACGAUGAUGGGGGGCUCCGCCUGCUCGAGCAGCCACUCGAUGGUCUUGCCGUCGGUCUUGUUGCCCAGCUCCCGUGUCAGCUAGAGCACCCGGGCGGUGCACAACGCCAGCAUCCGUAUCCGCUGCCCGCGCCCCUCCACCUUGGUAUGCCGGUUCUUGGUGGGCCGCUUCGCCACCAGCCGCACGACCUUCUUCUUCGCGCCACCGGACGAUCUAGGGGGCAUCGUGCCGUGCCGCACCAGUGGCCGUGGCAAGCAGCUCGUGGAGGUCGAGCAGGCGAGCAACGGGCACUUCCCUCAACGCCAUAGCUGCAGCGCGUGGAGGUCAAGCAGCGUGCGGCGGGCGCACCCUUAAUGCCACAAGCUGCCGCAUUGCUAACCAUGACGAGCUCCUCCGCAUGCUCGACGCCAUGGCGAAAUGGAGCAGCAGAAGCUCGCGCCUACUGACGGCUCCAUGUUGCGAUAGGUACCUCCUCGUGUUGCAGUAGAGAUUUUUGGAUGUUGCAAGUGCUAUAGAUGUGCGCGGGUGUUGCAAAUGAAUGUAUCUUUUGACGUUGCACGAUUGAUUUUCUAAGAUGUUUCAAUGUUGCAACAAUUGACUUUUGAUGUUUCAUUUGUUGAUUUUUCGUGUUGCAAUAUUUGUCCCUGUAAGAGCUCA